GACGAACGCUGGCGGCGUGCUUAACACAUGCAAGUCGAGCGGUAAGGCCCUUUCGGGGGUACGACGAGCGGCGAACGGGUGAGUAACACGUGGGUGACCUGCCCUCAGCUCUGGGAUAAGCCUGGGAAACCGGGUCUAAUACUGGAUAUGACUCCAUGACGCAUGUUGGUGGGGUGGAAAGCCUUGUGCGGCUGAGGAUGGGCCCGCGGCCUAUCAGCUUGUUGGUGGGGUGANGGCCUACCAAGGCGACGACGGGUAGCCGGCCUGAGAGGGCGACCGGCCACACUGGGACUGAGACACGGCCCAGACUCC
rnacentral:rRNA from 1 species